CUAAUUUAAAUGUUCUCUGUAGCGUGCCAGGGUGUGUGCCUUCUCACGGCUGCCGUUUAUAAGACAAAUCAGGACGACAUUGCGGAACGGAGGCCGUGGGAACCUGGAUAAGAGUUUUGGUUGAAUUAUGAAGCACAAUGAGAGGGAGACAGAGCGAUAGACAAUUAUCUUCUUUUUUCCUUUCCACAUUUCCCUGUGUCCAGAGGAGAACGGGCAUUCUGUCCAUUUCUAACAGUGUUCAUUCAUACAUCCCGUGGUCCUCCCAGAACCAGCACAGUGAGCACGGUGUUGGUUGUUCUAAUAGUUGUUCUGCAAAGUGCACAAGGCCCUCUGUGAGCCGCAUUGCUCUAGGGUUCCCCGUGUUCUACACUGAAGUUACCACACGCUUGUCUCUUCUACUUCCUUUUCUCCUCUAUUUUAGUCUGUCUUCUAUUUAAACUUCUUAGACUCUAGUCUUAAUAUAAGGCUAUUUUUCCCCUUUGUAUUUUUGUACCCUGUGAAAUACUAUAUAAAAGGAUAAAAAAUAUUAAUUUAAGAGACUCUGGGAGUCCGAUCAGAGUAGCUUUAUAUUAACUACAGGAUGCUUUUAGCCUCACUACACCCAACACUAGCUUUGGGAAACUUGAGAUAGGUAAAGCCUGUUUAACACAUUCGCUACUUCAUCAAAUUCUUCAUCAACACUAAGCUUAUAAAGUUGAAAAAAAAGGUAUUGUUCCUUUUUUAAAUUUUUUUUUCUUGAGUUAGGUAAAAAUUGCAUGCUGUCUAUGACUCUGAAGCCACACUGCUGGUCCCUUGCUGGAACAUGAAAGUGACCCCCUUUCCAGGAGUGUAUCAGACGUGCAGCAAGUGAGUCUCCUAUGCACUGCUUGCUUUUAAGAUCCCUGGAGCAUAGGGACUUCCACAAAGCAUUUCCGUCAAGAAAUGCACAUCUCCCCAUAGACACAGACCUGUCUUCUCUCGUUCCUGGAUAGCCUUCAUUUAUCUUUAACCUUUUGCUAUCCCUUCUUAUUAUACUCAGUUACCCUGUGAAUUGACCAUUAUUAACCUCAGAGAAUUUAUGAUUCUUGGGAGGCGUCAAGCAAUUCCACCCAUGGGAAACGAAAGUUAACUUCUGGAUUAGGGUCCCACUCGCCGUGGCUUCUGACUCUGCCAGAAGACCGGUCUCUGAAGCUUUAUGGCUAGACCUGAGUGCCUGAGACAGAGAAGCAGUGGCUUCUCAUUUAGUGCAAGAAGAAAUAAGGGAGGGCAUGGGCUUUGAGUCAGCACUGAGGGGGCGUGCUACCUCAAACCGUGCCGUCCGGGGUUUCCAAAACCCUUGCAUUCCGGUACAAGAGCUGGGGAUAUAACUUAUACUUGAACCUACCUACGAAGUUUACAUUGCUCGAUGCAAGGUGCUAUUUUUGGACUUAAGCGGCUGUGAUGUGAAGCUGCUUCCUGCUUCUCUUGUUGCACUGCUAGACUUACGUAGGUGUUGACUUCAUUGCUGCUUGUCGCUUCUUCGUUGUCAUGGGGCUUGGGCUCUGCUCUUUCCUAGUGGCUGUAUUAUCUAUGGCCAUCUACUUGUAACGCUACUACAUGUAAACCAAUCUUUCCUUUUAGAAAAGUACUAAGCUUUAUAAAGUAGCCAUGGAAAUAAAUGUAUUUAGUAAGGCA
rnacentral:lncRNA from 1 species